GACGAACGCUGGCGGCGUGCUUAACACAUGCAAGUCGAACGGACAGGCCCUGCCUUUGUGGCGUACUCGCGUGGCGAACGGGUGGGUAACCCGUUAGUCACCUGCCCUGUACUUCGGGAUAACCUCAGGAAACCCGGGCCAAUACCGGAUAGGAGCUCCCGCUGCCUGGUGGGGGUUGGGAAGUUUCGGCGGUUGGUGUUGGUUACGCGGCGUAUCAGCUUGUUGGUGGGGUAGUGGCUUACCAAGGCUUUGCCGGGUAGCCGGCCUGAGCGGGUGACCGGCGACAAUAGGACUGAGGUACGGCCCAGACGGCUACGGGACGCAGCAGUGGAGAAUCUUGCAGAGUGGGCGGGAGCCUGAUGUAGAAGCGCCGCGUGCGGGAUGACGGCCUGCGAGGUGUGAACCGCUUUCGCCGGUGACGAAGCGUGCGUGACGGUAAUGGGUAAGAAAGCACCGGCUAACUACGUG
rnacentral:rRNA from 1 species